CUCCUCAGCUAUGCCCAUGCUGCCAGCAGCACAGUGCAUGGUGCCAUUCACAGGCCUUGGUGUGCUGCAGAAGGAGGGUGUUGAUCUGUUGGAUGUUCCUUGCCGUAGGAGGGCCUCUCUGUCUGGCAGCCAGUGGCAGGGAAGGCAGCACGUGGAGCUGGAGGUUGUGCCUACUGCAGCUCUGCUCAGCUGAGCCACGUGGGCCCCUGUUCCUGAGAAAAGUUGCUGCGCUCCGCCCGGUAUUAUCUUGCAGGUUUAUCUUUCAUAACUGUUCAAGCAAUAACCGUAAGUUAGCUUAGCAGUGGGCUGAGAGUGCAGCACGCGGUCCCUGCCAUGAAAUGGCGGCUGACACAAAAUGGUGACUCCCAGUGUAUGCAAGGGGACGGGCUUCCUGUUCAAGUGACCACUGGGAGAGCUGGACGUGUGGGCUGGUUGAGGCAGCCAAUCCCACCAGGGUAGGUGUGGGCAGGAGGGAGGAGCUCUGGGACACGCUGCCUUGGUGGUGAGGCUGGCAGGUGCAUCUUGCGGGACUGAGGAAAAUCUCCUCCUCAGUUAAGCUCAUGCUGCCAGCAGCCAGUGCAUGGAGCCAUUCACAGGCCUUGGUGUCCUGCAGAAGGAGGAUGUUGAUCUGUUGGAGUGUUCCUUGCCGUAAGACGGCCUCUCUGUCUGGCAGCCAGUGGCAGGGAAGGCAGCACGUGGAGCUGGAGGCUGUGCCUGCAGCAGCUCUGCUCAGCUGAGCCAUGUGGGCCCCUGUUCCUGAGAAAAGUUGCUGUGCUCCACUCUCUUUUAUCUUGCAGGUUCAUCUUCCGUAACUGCUCGAGCAAUCCCCAUAAGUUAGCUUAGCAGUGGACUGAGAGUGCAGCACGUGGUCCCUGCCACGAAAUGGCGGCUGACACAAAAUGGCAGCUCCCAGUGUACGCAAGGGGACGGGCUUCCUGUUCAACGGACUCUGGGAGAUCUAGAGUUGUAGGCUGGUUGAGGCAACCACUCCCACCAGGGUAGGUGUGGGCAGGAGGGAGGAGCUUUGGGACACGCUGCCUUGAUGGUGAGGUUUGUGGGAGCUGCUGGUGCCUGCCCAUGCUUCUGACAGGGUGAUGUAGAGCCUUGUUGUCUGCAUGUCUUACUUGGCACUGAGGGCGGUUUUGCUGGGUGAGUUUCGUGACCAGCCUGCCUAACAUCCCUUCUUCAGCUUUGCUCAUGCUUUCUGCUCUCCAGUUCAUAUAGGAAUUGACAGCCCUUGGUGUGCUGCAGAAUGAGAGCACUGAGCCCAAAAACAAAAAGCAUCAAUGAGCUAACGGAGAAAAGUGAUUUACUAAAUAUCAUACUAGAGUGCCAGCUAACAUUAUAAUACAGUAUAAUUGGAACUGAAGCUUAUAAAUAAAAUUAGAGCAUCCAAAACUGAGGGCUUUACUCGAAUGCUGAAUUUGAGAUGGCUAGGGUGUAAGCACUUCAGAGAUAAGCAGUAAAAGAAGGGAUAGUCUCAUGACUUGGGAGCUGUUUUAUCUUUCCGUUUGAAUGGAAAACAGAUAUGGUACAGUGAAAGUCUUCUUACCGGUGUAGUUCUUCUCUUCUGAGAACCGUGUACCCAGAAAUAUAGACAUACUAUAAACCUGGAGCAUGAACACUUGCAUCCCAGUGCACUGCGUGACGUUAUAAUGUGGAAUACUGAUAACAAAAAUAAUAAAACCACGACAGUUGUGAAUGCAUUUCAGGUUAUGUUUAAAAAGGAGCAAUUAUUUAAUAAUAUUGCCCAGAUAUCUGCCCUGAGGUGGGAUAGUUCUGAGUGGCAGGGAAUGUGGGAUAGUUUGGGCAGGUGCCUAGGGUGGUACUCACCCCCAGGGGUUUUGAACUUCACUUCUAAGGAACUCCAGAGUCCUGAAAAUCUAAUGGAAUAUUUGGACAGUUGCCAUCCUGCCAAUCCUAAAGAGGCACAAAUCAUUGCAGCACUGGGGCCUGAUCUAUGUUUGCCUCCUGAGCUCUGUUCAGCACUAUUCAGCGUCCUUAAGGGGAAGGCAAUACCUCUGGAUCUGAUGACAGUGCAAUUGACUCUCUAGUUCCUGUGGUAGACCCUGCAGCAGCUACAGUUCAGUUAACGGGUACUGCAGCUGCUGUGAGCAUUGUGACAGACUGCUGUCAUUCCAACUCAUGAUGAGCCCUAUGGUUGCUCCUGCUAUGGGUCAUCUAGGUUCAAAAAAAAAAAAAAAAAAAAAAAAAAAAA
ensembl:lncRNA